rnacentral:tRNA from 1 species
GGUGGCUCAGUGGUAGUGCGCUUGCCUUGCAUGCAAGAGGCCCUGGGUUCGAUUCCUCAGCACCA